GCCGCCCCUCCCCAGGAUGCCGUCGUGCCCCUGGCCGACACUCCGCCGCUGGCCAUCGGGCCUGCCGGAUCGCCACGCCGCCCCACCUCCCUCCCAGCUCUGGCUACCAACCCCGACCCCCGGCGACCUCCUUCUGUGCCGCGACGGCUGGAUCCACCCUCCCCCUCCCCGGCAGCCACGGCUCGCCCGCUAGCUCACGGAGGCCUCCCCACCGUGGCCCGCCCCACGCUGUCGUGGCAACCUACCCUUGCCGGCUCCUCCCAUGGCGGUCGCCCCGGCGUCAUUGAUGAGGAGGGCUGACGGCGACCUCCCUCGAUCUCGUCUCCCGUCGUUGUCGCGGCGACGGAUCUGUCGUUGUGGGCGCCGGCAACUGUCGCAGCAGUGAGCCCCUUCUGCCCCCUCACCCAUUCUCCUCCGCUACGGAUCACAAAUCAGUAGCCUUCGGGCAGGACGACGACGUUGACGCCUCCUGGACAAGUUAAGGGAUGACAGGCGUGUGUGCAAUCAGUUGGAACAAUGCAUAUGCAUCAAUGAGCCAUCAAUCUUCAGCAACGGAUUGGAUGCUCAUUGUGGAUAUGUAGCCAGUCCUCGUGUUGUUCUUCUUCGUGCAAAAUUCACCAACAAUGAAGUGCAGGUUACUCCUCGAGGCAGGUCAUUUCCAUCCUCGGUGCAGUUAACUGGCGUGCAAUUUUGUUAGUGAGGGGAAGCGGUUCUGCAACUUGCAUGCGCCAUUUCACCGGAAGGAGUCCACUUCUCGGACAAGCAGCAGGAAUUUUUCCCGGAAACAUGACACAGCGGUACAGCUGGAUCCCAUGGAGGUUCAGAUUCUUAUUUCAGCGUUCAUAUUUGCAGUGCAUUGCUUGUUUGUCGAACAAAAAAAUGGCUAUUCAUUCUGGCGCUUUUCUCUUGCAUUCAAAAACUUGUUAUGGCUUAAGGAGUGCAGUUAAUUGUUGGGUGUUGUACUCUUGACUUUGUUGUGUAGUGCAGUUCAUUUGUAGGCAUAGGCGAACAACAAAAAUGACAACUAAAACAACAGGAAAAACACACAGAAAAGACAUGCAGUCCGCUCGUCUAGUCCUUGUGGUUCAUUGCUAGCAAAAAUCUUUUAUAUUGUGUUUGUUGCGGUUCACUUGUACCUCGCGUGGGUAUAUUGAAAAAUGUUUUUAUCAGUUUUGGUGGGCCUGGAGGUUCACUCCAUAAAAUAAUGCAGCUCGCUUUGUAAUAUUUUCUAUAGCAACAACGGUGCACAAUGAUGCUGUGCGGCUGGUACCGACAUGCGGUUCAAUGUGAUGUUUUUAAAAUUCA